AGUGAACGCUGGCGGUAGGCCUAACACAUGCAAGUCGAACGGCAGCACAGUAAGAGCUUGCUCUUACGGGUGGCGAGUGGCGGACGGGUGAGGAAUACAUCGGCAUCUACUUUUUCGCGGGGGAUAACGUAGGGAAACUUACGCCAUUACCGCAUACGACCUACGGGUGAAAGCAUGGGAUCUUCGGACCUUGCGCGAUUGAAUGAGCCGAUGUCGGAUUAGCUAGUUGGCGGGGUAAAGGCCCACCAAGGCGACGAUCCGUAGCUGGUCUGAGAGGAUGAUCAGCCACACUGGAACUGAGACACGGUCCAGACUCCUACGGGAGGCAGCAGUGGGGAAUAUUGGACAAUGGGCGCAAGCCUGAUCCAGCCAUACCGCGUGUGUGAAGAAGGCCUUCGGGUUGUAAAGCCCUUUUGUUGGGAAAGAAAAGCAGCGUGUUAAUACCACGCUGUUCUGACGGUACCCAAAGAAUAAGCACCGGCUAACUUCGUG
rnacentral:rRNA from 1 species